GUUCAACAGUACGUGAAACCGCCNAGAGGUAAACGGGUGGAUCCGCAAAGUCGGUCCGCGAAAUUCAGCUCGGAAGGCUGGUCGCAGGUGGUUAGGUCGAGAUCUCUUGCGGACUCUCCUGCUACUUGUACGCUGGCUUGACGUGUGCACUUUUCGCGGGCAGAGCGCCACGACCGGUUUCUGGGCAGUCAGAAGGCGGCGAGGAAGGUAGGUGGGCGCUUCGGCGUUUACUGUUAUAGCCUCGCUUGUCCCGAUCUGCUCGGAGACCGAGGAGCCGCCGCUUGGGCAAUGGGCUAUCCUGCUCUCCUUGGGGGUUCGACAGGCAGAGACUGGGAAACCGUGUCUGCCGACCGCCUCUAUGGACGGACGGGGGUGCUUUGAGUCCGCCCAAGCAUAGGGUCGGUGGCGAAUCGGUCGGCACUCCACCCGACCCGUCUUGAAA
rnacentral:rRNA from 1 species